ACGGGUGAGUAACACGUGAGCAACCUGCCCUGGACUCUGGGAUAAGCGCUGGAAACGGCGUCUAAUACUGGAUAUGAGCCUCUAUCGCAUGGUGGGGGUUGGAAAGAUUUUUUGGUCUGGGAUGGGCUCGCGGCCUAUCAGCUUGUUGGUGAGGUAAUGGCUCACCAAGGCGUCGACGGGUAGCCGGCCUGAGAGGGUGACCGGCCACACUGGGACUGAGACACGGCCCAGACUCCUACGGGAGGCAGCAGUGGGGAAUAUUGCACAAUGGGCGGAAGCCUGAUGCAGCAACGCCGCGUGAGGGAUGACGGCCUUCGGGUUGUAAACCUCUUUUAGCAAGGAAGAAGCGAAAGUGACGGUACUUGCAGAAAAAGCGCCGGCUAACUACGUGCCAGCAGCCGCGGUAAUACGUAGGGCGCAAGCGUUAUCCGGAAUUAUUGGGCGUAAAGAGCUCGUAGGCGGUUUGUCGCGUCUGCUGUGAAAUCCCGAGGCUCAACCUCGGGCCUGCAGUGGGUACGGGCAGACUAGAGUGCGGUAGGGGAGAUUGGAAUUCCUGGUGUAGCGGUGGAAUGCGCAGAUAUCAGGAGGAACACCGAUGGCGAAGGCAGAUCUCUGGGCCGUAACUGACGCUGAGGAGCGAAAGGGUGGGGAGCAAACAGGCUUAGAUACCCUGGUAGU
rnacentral:rRNA from 1 species